CUAGGUAUUGGUGAAAGAUACAGUGGGAUCUUCAAGGUGCUGGGGUGCUCAAGGUCUCUUGCUUCUGUGUACAGGCCACAAACUCGCUUGGCUUGGAGGAGCAAUUACUGCCUGCCCGGCAUUUGGAAGGUGUUCUUGCAUGGGCAGGGUAUUUGCCAGCUGAGCUGAACGCGUGUCUGUGCAUUUGUCUUUCCAGGUGACCCAAGACAGCUGGAAGAAGCAACCCAAAAUCCAACCCGUGGGUGCUGACACCUGAGAGCUGCCUUUCCCGUCUGCUCCAGCCCUACACCAAGUCUAAAUGGUGCAAGGACCCCUACCAGCUCCUGGGCAUGGUGCUCUGCCCCAAGCAGCACUGCCCAGACCAAAGCCCGUUUUCACCAGCUGUGUGCCCCCCUGACUCUCUGGUACUGCUGUUCUGGGAAGCUGCCUGGAUCCCCACUGGGCUGCAGCCCAGCAUGUGGUACAGCUGCAUCGCCCAGCCAGGGACCCUCCCUCACCCACCACCGUCCUGCUCUCUUGCCACCAGACUGAGACCACGGUCUGUUAAUUCUGGGUUGCCCCUGGAAUGA
rnacentral:lncRNA from 1 species